UACGUAGGGUGCAAGCGUUGUCCGGAAUUAUUGGGCGUAAAGAGCUCGUAGGCGGUUUGUCGCGUCUGCUGUGAAAACUCGCGGCUCAACCGCGAGCCUGCACCCGAUACGGGCGGGCUAGAGUUCGGCAGGGGGAGACUGGAAUUCCUGGUGUAGCGGUGGAAUGCGCAGAUAUCAGGAGGAACACCGGUGGCGAAGGCGGGUCUCUGGGCCGAUACUGACGCUGAGAAGCGAAAGCGUGGGGAGCGAACAGG
rnacentral:rRNA from 1 species